rnacentral:rRNA from 1 species
UGGGGAAUCUUGGACAAUGGGGGCAACCCUGAUCCAGCCAUGCCGCGUGAGUGAUGAAGGCCUUAGGGUCGUAAAGCUCUUUCGCCUGUGAAGAUAAUGACGGUAGCAGGUAAAGAAACCCCGGCUAACUCCGUGCCAGCAGCCGCGGUAAUACGGAGGGGGUUAGCGUUGUUCGGAAUUACUGGGCGUAAAGCGCACGUAGGCGGACCAGAAAGUUGGGGGUGAAAUCCCGGGGGCUCAACCCCGGAACUGCCUCCAAAACUAUUGGUCUAGAGUUCGAGAGAGGUGAGUGGAAUUCCAAGUGUAGAGGUGAAAUUCGUAGAUAUUUGGAGGAACACCAGUGGCGAAGGCGGCUCACUGGGCAGAUGUGAUCGCUGAGGUACGAAAGCGUGGGGAGCGAACAGGAUUAGAUACCCCUGGGUAGUCCACGCCGUAAAACGAUGGGUGCUAGGUGUUGGGUAGCUUGCUAUUCAGUGCCGAA